AACUCUUCUCUUCCUCCUCACCUCUUCAACUGAUCCUGUCACUGAAGUACGUCUACUUCAGCUUCUCCCUUUUACAGUCGCGGUCAGAAUGCCGGGACGUUUGAGUGGUGGCAGUGACCGGAGUAAAAACGUGAUGAGCUUGUCCAGGUGAAAGGGUAAUAGCUUCAAAGAGGACUCUUCUCCAUUGGUGGAGGAAACCAGAGACCGGAGCAGUGAACCAAUGACCAGCCAUCUGACAUCUGACAACAUCUGACACCGAGGAGGAACUUUCUCAUCAAAUUAUUUUAAAUACAUUCUUAAUAUAUUUGACUAGUUCUAUUAAUGGAAUGUAUUCAUGAAAAACAUGGUGCAUUGAAGCUAACGUACGCUAAGAACAUUGAAGCUAACGUACGCUAAGAACAAGAACAAGACUAAAAAUAGAGACACAGUGAAAAUAAAUGUGUUGACUCCAUAUCUCUGUGGCUCCAACGCCGGUGGCCGUUCAU